rnacentral:rRNA from 1 species
AUGACUUCGCUGAAGCAUGCAGUCAAAGCAUUUUCAGGCCAGCCCUCCACCUUUCUUCUAAGGAUCAUGGUGCUCCAACUGGACCCAGGCUACGACAAAGUAUGCAAAGUGUGUAUGCGAUGGCUGUGUGUAUGUGCUGGCAGUGUGUAUGCGAUGGCAGGCUACGACAAAGUAUUUAAUGUGUGUAUGCGAUGGCUGUGUGUAUGUGCUGGCAGUGUGUAUGCGAUGGCAGGCUACGACAAAGUAUCCAAUGUGUGUAUGCGAUGGCAGUGUGUAUGUGCUGGCAGUAUGUAUGUGAUGGCUGUGUAUAUGAAAUCAUGUAAAUUUCAGAUCUGCUAUGUAGGUCCAUACCAUUGUAUUUGUGUAUGGAUGUAA